rnacentral:rRNA from 1 species
GAGGAUGCGAGCGUUAUCCGGAUUUAUUGGGUUUAAAGGGUGCGCAGGCGGAGCGUUAAGUCAGCGGUAAAAAUGCGGGGCUCAACCCCGUACGGCCGUUGAAACUGACGUCCUUGAGUGAGCGAGAAGUAUGCGGAAUGCGUGGUGUAGCGGUGAAAUGCAUAGAUAUCACGCAGAACUCCGAUUGCGAAGGCAGCAUACCGGCGCUCAACUGACGCUCAGGCACGAAAGCGUGGGUAUCAAA